rnacentral:rRNA from 1 species
AUUGAACGCUGGCGGCAUGCUUUACACAUGCAAGUCGAACGGUAACAGGCCGCAAGGUGCUGACGAGUGGCGAACGGGUGAGUAAUGCAUCGGAACGUGCCCAGUCGUGGGGGAUAACGCAGCGAAAGCUGCGCUAAUACCGCAUACGAUCUAUGGAUGAAAGCGGGGGACCGUAAGGCCUCGCGCGAUUGGAGCGGCCGAUGUCGGAUUAGGUAGUUGGUGGGCUAAAGGCUCACCAAGCCAACGAUCUGUAGCUGGUCUGAGAGGACGACCAGCCACACUGGGACUGAGACACGGCCCAGACUCCUACGGGAGGCAGCAGUGGGGAAUUUUGGACAAUGGGCGCAAGCCUGAUCCAGCAAUGCCGCGUGCAGGAAGAAGGCCUUCGGGUUGUAAACUGCUUUUGUACGGAACGAAACGGCCCUGGUUAAUACCUGGGGCUAAUGACGGUACCGUAAGAAUAAGCACCGGCUAACUACGUGCCAGCCGCCGCGGUAACAC